rnacentral:rRNA from 1 species
UACAGAGGGGGCAAGCGUUGUUCGGAAUUACUGGGCGUAAAGGGCGCGUAGGCGGCCUGCUAAGUCGAACGUGAAAUCCCUGGGCUCAACCCAGGAACUGCGUCCGAUACUGGUUGGCUUGAAUCCGGGAGAGGGAUGCGGAAUUCCAGGUGUAGCGGUGAAAUGCGUAGAUAUCUGGAGGAACACCGGUGGCGAAGGCGGCAUCCUGGGACCGGCAUUGACGCUGAGGCGCGAAAGCUAGGGGAGCAAACGGG